CUGGAGGUAUCAGAAGUGCGAAUGCUGACAUAAGUAACGAUAAAGCGGGUGAAAAGCCCGCUCGCCGGAAGACCAAGGGUUCCUGUCCAACGUUAAUCGGGGCAGGGUGAGUCGACCCCUAAGGCGAGGCCGAAAGGCGUAGUCGAUGGGAAACAGGUUAAUAUUCCUGUACUUGGUGUUACUGCGAAGGGGGGACGGAGAAGGCUAUGUUGGCCGGGCGACGGUUGUCCCGGUUUAAGCGUGUAGGCUGGUUUUCCAGGCAAAUCCGGAAAAUCAAGGCUGAGGCGUGAUGACGAGGCACUACGGUGCUGAAGCAACAAAUGCCCUGCUUCCAGGAAAAGCCUCUAAGCAUCAGGUAACAUCAAAUCGUACCCCAAACCGACACAGGUGGUCAGGUAGAGAAUACCAAGGCGCUUGAGAGAACUCGGGUGAAGGAACUAGGCAAAAUGGUGCCGUAACUUCGGGAGAAGGCACGCUGAUAUGUAGGUGAGGUCCCUCGCGGAUGGAGCUGAAAUCAGUCGAAGAUACCAGCUGGCUGCAACUGUUUAUUAAAAACACAGCACUGUGCAAACACGAAAGUGGACGUAUACGGUGUGACGCCUGCCCGGUGCCGGAAGGUUAAUUGAUGGGGUCAGCGCAAGCGAAGCUCUUGAUCGAAGCCCCGGUAAACGGCGGCCGUAACUAUAACGGUCCUAAGGUAGCGAAAUUCCUUGUCGGGUAAGUUCCGACCUGCACGAAUGGCGUAAUGAUGGCCAGGCUGUCUCCACCCGAGACUCAGUGAAAUUGAACUCGCUGUGAAGAUGCAGUGUACCCGCGGCAAGACGGAAAGACCCCGUGAACCUUUACUAUAGCUUGACACUGAACAUUGAGCCUUGAUGUGUAGGAUAGGUGGGAGGCUUUGAAGUGUGGACGCCAGUCUGCAUGGAGCCGACCUUGAAAUACCACCCUUUAAUGUUUGAUGUUCUAACGUUGACCCGUAAUCCGGGUUGCGGACAGUGUCUGGUGGGUAGUUUGACUGGGGCGGUCUCCUCCUAAAGAGUAACGGAGGAGCACGAAGGUUGGCUAAUCCUGGUCGGACAUCAGGAGGUUAGUGCAAUGGCAUAAGCCAGCUUGACUGCGAGCGUGACGGCGCGAGCAGGUGCGAAAGCAGGUCAUAGUGAUCCGGUGGUUCUGAAUGGAAGGGCCAUCGCUCAACGGAUAAAAGGUACUCCGGGGAUAACAGGCUGAUACCGCCCAAGAGUUCAUAUCGACGGCGGUGUUUGGCACCUCGAUGUCGGCUCAUCACAUCCUGGGGCUGAAGUAGGUCCCAAGGGUAUGGCUGUUCGCCAUUUAAAGUGGUACGCGAGCUGGGUUUAGAACGUCGUGAGACAGUUCGGUCCCUAUCUGCCGUGGGCGCUGGAGAACUGAGGGGGGCUGCUCCUAGUACGAGAGGACCGGAGUGGACGCAUCACUGGUGUUCGGGUUGUCAUGCCAAUGGCACUGCCCGGUAGCUAAAUGCGGAAGAGAUAAGUGCUGAAAGCAUCUAAGCACGAAACUUGCCCCGAGAUGAGUUCUCCCUGACCCUUUAAGGGUCCUGAAGGAACGUUGAAGACGACGACGUUGAUAGGCCGGGUGUGUAAGCGCAGCGAUGCGUUGAGCUAACCGGUACUAAUGAACCGUGAG
rnacentral:rRNA from 1 species